UAUACUACGAAAUACACAAAACUAGGUUUAUGGAAUCAUUCAUAACGACGCACUAAGUCUCUUGUAGUUGAAAGUCCUGGUACAACGAAAUACACAAAACUAGGUUGAUGGAAUCGUUCAUGAAUAUGCACUAACUGAGUUUUAGUUCCAAAGUCUGUAUCCUUCGAAAUACACAAAACUAGGUUUAUAGAAUCAUUCAUAAUGACGCACUAAGUCUCUUGUAGUUCAAAGUCUUGGUACAACGAAAUACACAAAACUAGGUUUCGGGAAUCGUUCAUAAAAUGACACUGUUGUAGUUCCAAAGUCGGUAUACAACGAAAUACACAUGACUAGGUUUAUGGAAAAGUUCAAAGAAGCCAAUAACUCUGUUGUAGUUCCAAAGUCCAGAUACAA
rnacentral:lncRNA from 1 species